GCAUGUGAGCCUUCGCCUGUUCGACGACCCGUCGGUCUGUUUUUUUUUCUAUUUGGAUGUAGCUCUGGUUGCUUGGACCCUAGGCGUAUUCUUGCGUUCCUCCUGCACUUCGACAAGGCACCACAGUGCUUUUGGACUAUGGCAAGCUGAUGCCAUCCAGAGGAGCUUCAUACGGAAACUACUGCUGCUUACCUCGUGCCACAACAUUGGAUGAGCGCACCAAAAGCCUGGAACGAGCAUUUAUAAAGAGCAAAAUAAAUAUUUACUCAUUUCGCAA
rnacentral:lncRNA from 1 species